UGGGGGGACCAUCCUCCAAGGCUAAAUACUCCUGACUGACCGAUAGUGAACCAGUACCGUGAGGGAAAGGCGAAAAGAACCCCGGCGAGGGGAGUGAAAAAGAACCUGAAACCGUGUACGUACAAGCAGUGGGAGCCCCACCACCAAAGCAUUCUCUGGUGUUGAAGGCCCUGCAAAGCAGCAUCGCGGUGGCGGAGCGUCGUUUGCGACGCCCAACACACAAAACAAGCGGUGAGUGCUUUGGGGUGGGGUGACUGCGUACCUUUUGUAUAAUGGGUCAGCGACUUAUAUUCUGUAGCAAGGUUAACCGUAUAGGGGAGCCGUAGGGAAACCGAGUCUUAACCGGGCGUUAAGUUGCAGGGUAUAGACCCGAAACCCGGUGAUCUAGCCAUGGGCAGGUUGAAGGUUGGGUAACACUAACUGGAGGACCGAACCGACUAAUGUUGAAAAAUUAGCGGAUGACUUGUGGCUGGGGGUGAAAGGCCAAUCAAACCGGGAGAUAGCUGGUUCUCCCCGAAAGCUAUUUAGGUAGCGCCUCGUGAAUUCAUCUUCGGGGGUAGAGCACUGUUUCGGCUAGGGGGUCAUCCCGACUUACCAACCCGAUGCAAACUGCGAAUACCGGAGAAUGUUAUCACGGGAGACACACGGCGGGUGCUAACGUCCGUCGUGAAGAGGGAAACAACCCAGACCGCCAGCUAAGGUCCCAAAGUCAUGGUUAAGUGGGAAACGAUGUGGGAAGGCCCAGACAGCCAGGAUGUUGGCUUAGAAGCAGCCAUCAUUUAAAGAAAGCGUAAUAGCUCACUGGUCGAGUCGGCCUGCGCGGAAGAUGUAACGGGGCUAAACCAUGCACCGAAGCUGCGGCAGCGACACUGUGUGUUGUUGGGUAGGGGAGCGUUCUGUAAGCCUGCGAAGGUGGCCUGUGAGGGUUGCUGGAGGUAUCAGAAGUGCGAAUGCUGACAUAAGUAACGAUAAAGCGGGUGAAAAGCCCGCUCGCCGGAAGACCAAGGGUUCCUGUCCAACGUUAAUCGGGGCAGGGUGAGUCGACCCCUAAGGCGAGGCCGAAAGGCGUAGUCGAUGGGAAACAGGUUAAUAUUCCUGUACUUGGUGUUACUGCGAAGGGGGGACGGAGAAGGCUAUGUUGGCCGGGCGACGGUUGUCCCGGUUUAAGCGUGUAGGUGUGUGUUCCAGGUAAAUCCGGUUCACUUUAACACUGAGGCGUGAUGACGAGGCACUACGGUGCUGAAGCAACAAAUGCCCUGCUUCCAGGAAAAGCCUCUAAGCAUCAGGUAACAU
rnacentral:rRNA from 1 species